rnacentral:rRNA from 1 species
GUUGUCCGGAUUAUUGGGCGUAAAGAGCUUGUAGGCGGUUUGUCGCGUCUGCUGUGAAAGGCCGGGGCUUAACUCCGUGUAUUGCAGUGGGUACGGGCAGACUAGAGUGCAGUAGGGGAGACUGGAAUUCCUGGUGUAGCGGUGGAAUGCGCAGAUAUCAGGAGGAACACCGAUGGCGAAGGCAGGUCUCUGGGCUGUAACUGACGCUGAGAAGCGAAAGCAUGGGGAGCGAACAGGAUUAGAUACCCUGGUAGUCCACGCCGUAAACGAUGAGUGCUAGGUGUUAGACCCUUUCCGGGGUUUAGUGCCGUAGCUAACGCAUUAAGCACUCCGCCUGGGGAGUACGACCGCAAGGUUGAAACUCAAAGGAAUUGACGGGGGCCCGCACAAGCGGUGGAGCAUGUGGUUUAAUUCGAUGCAACGCGAAGAACCUUACCUACUCUUGACAUCCAGAGAACAUUCCAGAGAUGGAUUGGUGCCUUCGGGAACUCUGAGACAGGUGCUGCAUGGCUGUCGUCAGCUCGUGUCGUGA